UACAGGAGGUGGCAAGCGUUGUUCGGAAUUACUGGGCGUAAAGGGCGCGUAGGCGGCCCGUCAAGUCCCGUGUGAAAGCCCCCGGCUCAACCGGGGAACGGCGCGGGAAACUAGCAGGCUUGAGUUCGGGAGAGGGAAGCGGAAUUCCGGGUGUAGCGGUGAAAUGCGCAGAUAUCUGGAGGAACACCGGUGGCGAAGGCGGCAUCCUGGACCGACACGUGACGCUGAGAGCGAAAGCCAGGG
rnacentral:rRNA from 1 species